AAAAAACAUGUCGUUCAAAAUUAAAUCCUCCAAUGCCCCAGCUUACCCAAAUUCACAAAGAUAAGAUCAUAGUUAGCCUCAACCAGAAUCAAACGUAUUUCAAGCAAAAGGCAUUAUUAGGUCAAAUUUCAUAAUCCCUUCUUUACGAUGCAAGACAUAAUCACGUUUUGACCAUUGACCAAGAAAGAAUAAUAAAUCAAGCAGCUGCAAAACAAAUUAACAUGAACAUGGAUGAAGAUAAAGCAAGAAGAAUUGAUAAAACAAUUCAAAUAUGUAAUUACGGCCAGCCUGA
rnacentral:misc_RNA from 1 species